rnacentral:tRNA from 1 species
GUCUCUGUGGCGCAAUUGGUUAGCGCGUUCGGCCGUUAACCGAAAGGUUGCUGGUUCAAGCCCAGCCAGGGACG